AUUACAGGGAUGAGCCACCACACCUGACCACUAAUUUUAGUUUAAUGGGAUUGAAAAUAAACAUGAACACAGAAAGUGUAUAAAAUGUAUUUCCUUUAUAUACACACCCAUGCAUGCACAUACUCUGUGGUAUACACUUCUGCAUUAGAAAACCUCUGGUUCCAAGUAAAGAAGCCUGGAUGAAAUUUUGUAAAUUCAGUUUAGCACGUAAUCUACAUGAUUGAGUCAUGAAUAAGACCCAGGCCAUGUUCUUACAGAGAACUGGUUUUUAUGAGAACAGCUAGUGGUCCUCACUUGUCAUAGAGGAUGCUCAGGCAAUUUGGUCCAUUUUAUCUUCCCACACAGGAAGACUUCACUAAUAAAAUGACAGAAAAAGUAUUUUCAUUCAACAAAUAUUUGUGAGCACCAUCUUCGAGGUGCUGAGGAUUCAGUAAGAAGCCAAAAUGUACAGAAAGCCCUACCCUCCUGAAACCUACCUUGGGGUGGAAGAUGACAUGAGGAGAGUCGAUGGAAAAGCAGAUUUCCUUUUAUAGAAAUGUCCCGGUGAUGCUGGUACUGAUGGUCCAGGGAUCAUAUUUUGACAACCAUUUGGCACAUCAGUGGUUUGCUUCCUGAAGCAAUCAAGAAGAAGGGAGUCCAAGAUUGUGAAGAUUCUGGAGAAGUCGAGACAACAGUGGAGAGACUAGCUUGAAAUCUGUAGCUGCUUUUACCAUGGGUAAAUUUGCCAAUUUUGGAUUCUAAAAUCUGAGAAUUGCCUGGACAGAGGGCUACUGGGAAAGAAGGAGACCAGCAGAGUUUUUGGUGGUCUUGCAGUACUGGGGCUAGAAAACGAGAGAUUUGAAGGGCUAGUGUUUGAUUGAAAGGAAUGAGUGAAGCACUAGCGUUGGCACAAGAAAGUUUCCCCCACGAUAAGUACUGAAUUCUGAAGCUGCAUGAGAUGGAAAAAUAAGAAACUAAGAACAUAGCACCAGAAAAGGUCUGCAUUUCUGAUUCAGGACAAUAAUAAUAAUAAAGUUAAGAACUAGCCAGGAGAAGCUCCAGUGUACAUAGGUUUCCAUGCGGAAGCCUUAGAGAGCCACACUCUAGGGAGGUAAAUAGAGUCUUUACCUGUGUGAAUAAAUCUUAGUUCCUGGUUGUAUUCGUUAUCAAUCUUCAUUCUAUCUACCCAGAAAGGAAAGAUGAAACUUCUCUGGAGAAGAUUAUGUGAUCUGGAACCUCUAUGAUUUUUAAUGUAUAAUGUCUAGAAUUCACUUUUUAAAAUUACUUAACAUGCCAAGAAAAAGAUCAUAAAAUUCAGAACAGGUAGAUAAAAAAGAUCCCUAUAUGAUUUGGUGAUGGGAUUUAGCAGACAGGGACUUUGAAAUAAUUAUGAUUAAUAUGGUCAACGAAAUAGAAGAAAAGGACAAAAAUAUACUAAGAUACUAAAAAAGGGCAAGAAUUGAAAUUAGAAACUCAGCAUAUGGAUUUAACAACAGAUUAUAUAUGUGAGAUUAAAAGCAUAAGGAAACCCAAAGUGAGGCCAAUUCAAUACUGAAGAACAGAGCUAAAAAAAAAAAGUGUAAGAUACA